rnacentral:lncRNA from 1 species
ACUACCCAGAUCAACACUAACCACACCCAAAUAAACACAUACAACAUUCUACCCUAAACUACCCCAUAUAACCACUAACCUACCCUCAUAUCAUAACACUAAUACAGACAUGUCUACCACUAACCUACCCUCAUAUCAUAAACACUAACCUACCCUCAUAUCAUCACACUACAUACAGACAUGUCUACCACUACCUACCCCUCAUAUAUACACUAACCUACCCUCAUAUCAUACACUACAUACAGACAUGUCUACACUAACCUACCCUCAUAUCUACCUAACCUACCCUCUAUCAUAACACUACAUACAGACAUGUUACCACCUAACCUACCCUCAUCAUCAUACCACUAAACCACCCUCAUAUCAUAACACUACAUACAGAAUUCUCCCAUAACCUACCCUCAUAUCAUACCACUAACCUACCCUCAUAUCAUAACACUACAUACAGACAUAUCUACCACUAACCUACCCUCAUAUAACAUACCACUAACCUACACUAUCUCAUAAAACCACUACAGAAAUGUCUACCACUAACCUACCCCUAUAUCUACCAUAACCCUACCCUCAUAUAUACAACUAACCUACCCUCAUAUCAUACA